GCGUCGAUUGCGCCGCCGAGCGUCUCGACCUUCACGAGGUCCAGGCCGUCGGGCCGGUUCGCCACCGCCUCGUCGCA
rnacentral:tRNA from 1 species